GGAAAUGUGCCCGAAUACUAAGGGCUACUUUGAUAGAGUAAACUACAGAGGUUAAAAUCCCCUCAUUUCC
rnacentral:tRNA from 2 species